rnacentral:rRNA from 1 species
AACGAACGCUGGCGGCAUGCCUAACACAUGCAAGUCGAACGAGACCUUCGGGUCUAGUGGCGCACGGGUGCGUAACGCGUGGGAACCUGCCCUUAGGUUCGGAAUAACUCCCCGAAAGGGGUGCUAAUACCGGAUAAUGUCUUCGGACCAAAGAUUUAUCGCCUUUGGAUGGGCCCGCGUUGGAUUAGCUAGUUGGUAGGGUAAAAGCCUACCAAGGCGACGAUCCAUAGCUGGUCUGAGAGGAUGAUCAGCCACACUGGGACUGAGACACGGCCCAGACUCCUACGGGAGGCAGCAGUGGGGAAUAUUGGACAAUGGGCGAAAGCCUGAUCCAGCAAUGCCGCGUGAGUGAUGAAGGCCUUAGGGUUGUAAAGCUCUUUUACCCGGGACGAUAAUGACAGUACCGGGAGAAUAAGCUCCAGCUAACUCCGUG